UACGAAGGGGCGAGCGUUGUUCGGAAUUACUGGGCGUAAAGGGCGCGCAGGCGGCUCUGAAAGUCAGAUGUGAAAGCCCCGGGCUUAACCUGGGAAUUGCAUUUGAUACUCUGGAGCUUGAGUACGGGAGAGGAUAGUGGAAUUCCCAGUGUAGAGGUGAAAUUCGUAGAUAUUGGGAAGAACACCGGUGGCGAAGGCGGCUAUCUGGACCGUAACUGACGCUGAGGCGCGAAAGCGUGGGGAGCAAACAGGG
rnacentral:rRNA from 1 species